rnacentral:rRNA from 1 species
UACGGAGGGUGCAAGCGUUAUCCGGAUUUAUUGGGUUUAAAGGGUCCGUAGGCGGACCAAUAAGUCAGUGGUGAAAGCCCAUCGCUUAACGAUGGAACUGCCAUUGAUACUGUUGGUCUUGAGUGAGGUUGCAGUGGCUGGAAUGUGUAGUGUAGCGGUGAAAUGCUUAGAUAUUACGCAGAACACCAAUUGCGAAGGCAGGUCACUAAGCCUCAACUGACGCUGAUGGACGAAAGCGUGGGGAGCGAACAGG